UCCUGGCUCAGGAUGAACGCUGGCGGCGUGCCUAAUACAUGCAAGUCGAGCGAACAGACGGGGAGCUUGCUCCUCUGACGUUAGCGGCGGACGGGUGAGUAACACGUGGAUAACCUACCUAUAAGACUGGGAUAACUUCGGGAAACCGGAGCUAAUACCGGAUAAUAUAUUGAACCGCAUGGUUCAAUAGUGAAAGACGGUUUUGCUGUCACUUAUAGAUGGAUCCGCGCCGCAUUAGCUAGUUGGUAAGGUAACGGCUUACCAAGGCAACGAUGCGUAGCCGACCUGAGAGGGUGAUCGGCCACACUGGAACUGAGACACGGUCCAGACUCCUACGGGAGGCAGCAGUAGGGAAUCUUCCGCAAUGGGUGAAAGCCUGACGGAGCAACGCCGCGUGAGUGAUGAAGGUCUUCGGAUCGUAAAACUCUGUUAUUAGGGAAGAACAAAUGUGUAAGUAACUAUGCACGUCUUGACGGUACCUAAUCAGAAAGCCACGGCUAACUACGUG
rnacentral:rRNA from 1 species